rnacentral:lncRNA from 1 species
AAUACAGGAGUGUUUAUGGUUGGGUUGAGACACAUUCAGUAGCUGAGUGAUUGACAGCAAGAGGAGCAAGACAUGAGGUUAAUAAUUAUCAAAUAUAUGGCAAUGCUGGACUUUAGCUGAUCAUCGUGCUUCUGGAAAACAACAAAAAUUGAGAUAUCUGUUCACCACUUUGUGUGUCCAAGGACCACCUACUUUUUACAUGUGACAAGAACUACCCACCUCCACUCUUCAGGAUAGAACAUGCUGAAGAAAAGAGUUGCAAUGAGAAAAUAUAUGGGAACAAAAUACCUAUGCAAUGCAGAAGUCUGCAUAACUGAACCACUCAGAGGAAAAAGACAGUUUCCCUCCCAGGCUGGAGUACAAUGGCGCGACCUCGGCUCACUGCAACUUCCACCUCCCAGUUCAAGCAAUUCUCCCACCUCAGCUUCCUUAGUAGCUGGGAUUACAAGUGCCUGACACCAGGCCAAGCUAUUUUUGUAUUUUUAGUAGAGACGGGGUUUCACCAUUUUGACCAGGCUGGUCUCAAACUCCUGACCUCAGUCCAUCGGUCCACCUCGGCCUCCCAAAGUGCUGGGAUUGCAGGCAUGAGCCACCGCUCCUGGCCUCAAGUUUAAUUCUUAAGUGAGUCAAUCAGUUAUAGUUCUGUUCAAAGCUUUCAGUGCACCUAAAA